AUUGAACGCUGGCGGCAGGCUUAACACAUGCAAGUCGAGCGAGCGGCGGACGGGUGAGUAAUGUCUGGGAAACUGCCUGAUGGAGGGGGAUAACUACUGGAAACGGUCGCUAAUACCGCAUACCAUAAGAUGGGCCCAGCUGGGAUUAGCUAGUAGGUGGGGUAAUGGCUCACCUAGGCGACGAUCCCUAGCUGGUCUGAGAGGAUGACCGGCCACACUGGAACUGAUAAACGGUCCGGACUCCUACGGGAGGCAGCAGGGGGGAAUAUUGCACAAUGGGGGCAAGCCUGAUGCAGCCAGGCCGCGUGUGUGAAGAAGGCCUUCGGGUUGUAAAGUACUUUCAGCGAGGAGGCGUUACUCGCAGAAGAAGCACCGGCUAACUCCGUGCCAGCAGCCGCGGUAAUAC
rnacentral:rRNA from 1 species